CGGGCGGUGCCUCCUUCUUUCCCGCGGGCUCCCCGCAUUCCAUCCCCUCCCCGCAACGUUGCCACGGGAUGCGGUUGCCACGAGUUACCGGAUGGGAGGCCGGGAGGGCUCUGCGCGGGGCGGGGAAGAGCGGGGCGGACAGCGCGGCGGCCCUCAGGUAAGGCUCUGCCCCCCCCGCUCCGCGUCCCCGGGGCAAGGCAGGGCAGGGCGGCGAGCGCGGUCUUGGGAUGCUCCCUGCCUGCCUUUUCACCUUUUUUUUUUUUUCCCCCCCGUUCGUUGGAUUUUUUUGUUGUGUUUGUUUGGGGUUUUUUUGUUUCGUUUUGUUUGGUUGGUGGGUUUUUUUUUUCCCUCUCUCCUUUUUUUUUUUUUCCCGCGGGCAGCCCCCUCGCUGCUGCGCUCCCACCCCACACCCGCUGCCCGGUGCGGAUGCUCUGCGGGGCGCCUCCAGGUCAGAACCGCGGGAUGCGAGCCCAAAGGCGAGAGAGAGAGAGUUCGAUCUUCUGUUUUAACCAAGGCCACUUGAAUUAAUUUCUAAGGAGGUUUUUGUUCCAGAAGGCGAAGAAGCGACCUAAGCCGCUAUACCGCGUUUUAAACGCCGAAGAGGAGAAUGGCUGUGUCUUUCCUAAAGCGUUGAGGCCUUUCGUGAAAAGAAUCAGUCCGAGACUGGAAAUUAUUAUUUACAUUUCUGCAAUAUUGUAAAAGCUAGAGAAGAAAGGAAAACGUCUGUUCAAAGAGGCAAACUGGUGAAUUGCAUCAGCAACAGAGUAUUUGGUCUGUCCAGACACACAAGCCUCCAUAUCUUCUGGGCUAAGCUGAGUCUGUAAGAAGAGGUGAAGUCUACUAUCUGAAAGCAAUAAUGUGUCUUGUACGAUCCUGGAAAAAGAAAAAAAGGCAAAUGUUUAUAUAUAAGCUACACACAAACACAUAUAUUCUAAAGUGUUUUCCCAGAACAAAUUCUAAAUUAUGUCCUGCUUUUAAGUUUUCAGAUGAAUCCUAAAUCAAUAACAGAAGGUAAUGAGAACAUACUAAAAUGAUUAGGUGUGUGUUACUUUCUUAUUACAUUAUUUGGAAUUUUAGGUGAGUAAAAACACGAAGCUAAUAGUUAGGCACAUCUGCUAUUAGAAUAACUUCAAGGACAUUUCUUCCAUUUAACCAUCUGUUAUUUCCACAUGGAUCAAUUAAUGAAUUUUAGGCAGUUGGAGGCAUAUACUCUUACAAAAACUUCGUCUUUUUGUUUGUUGUUUGUUUGGGUUUUUUUUUUUAAUAGCUGAACUUUUAUAAAAAUUACAAGUCAUCAAUUUGGUGGAAUAAAGAAGUGUGCAGAGAGACAGUGUGUAGACAGAACAGUUUUCAUACAUGUGCUUUGGAAUACCUGUAAACAAUGGAGCCAACACUAGACAAAAUUAUUCACUCCGUUACAAAUAUGCAUAUAUUUAAGCUAGAAUGAAAAUGUUAAUACUGAACACUGAUUUUAAUUUACUUGCAAACAGUUUUCAGGGACUCUUAAAUUUUAUUUAGUUCCAGCUAUUAUUUUUAAAAAAUCCACUUUAAUAUUUGGUUCAUAUAUAUUUCAAGUCUCCAAACAAAUUUAGCACAGUGUAUUUACUUAAUAUCACAUAAGAGUAAUCAAAAUACAAUCAAUUCCAGUAAUGCAGAAAGUUGCAGUUACUUUUUCAAGGCCUCAAAAUUAAGGAUCAUCAUCACUAUUUGGGAAAAAAAAAAGAUAUGCAACUCUUCUUCAACAUUUCUUUACAGAAGGAAUUCUUUAAUACGCAAAUCCUAGAAUGAUUAACAAGAGACUUUCUUUAUAUGUGCAUGUAAUUUUACUCAUGUAAUAAAGACAGCAGAGUCUAUGACCAUGCCAAAGAGCGCUCCACAGAAAACUAUUAAAAUAUCUUUAAACAACUCAAAACUAAUAAGAGUCAAUAUUUACCUAUUUCUACUCAUUUAGGUAACAGUUUUUUACCAAAAAAAGUCACUGCUGUGCAAUAGGAAACAAGAGAUCACACUAAUGUAAGAACUAGUAAGAGCAGAAAGAAAUAUUGCAUUUUAAAGGUACUCUGACUAAAAUAAAAGGUAUAACUGAUUA